rnacentral:rRNA from 1 species
AGAGCGAACGCUGGCGGCAGGCUUAACACAUGCAAGUCGAGCGGGCGUAGCAAUACGUCAGCGGCAGACGGGUGAGUAACGCGUGGGAACAUACCUUUUGGUUCGGAACAACACAGGGAAACUUGUGCUAAUACCGGAUAAGCCCUUACGGGGAAAGAUUUAUCGCCGAAAGAUUGGCCCGCGUCUGAUUAGCUAGUUGGUGAGGUAACGGCUCACCAAGGCGACGAUCAGUAGCUGGUCUGAGAGGAUGAUCAGCCACAUUGGGACUGAGACACGGCCCAAACUCCUACGGGAGGCAGCAGUGGGGAAUAUUGGACAAUGGGCGCAAGCCUGAUCCAGCCAUGCCGCGUGAGUGAUGAAGGCCCUAGGGUUGUAAAGCUCUUUUGUGCGGGAAGAUAAUGACGGUACCGCAAGAAUAAGCCCCGGCUAACUUCACGCCAGCAGCCGC